UGGCCACAGAACAAGACAGGACUGCCCAUGAUCUCUCUUUUUUUUAAAUUUAUUAUAGAUAUGUUGUUAUAAUUUAUCAGUGAAGGAAUUACAUGUAAAAACUUUAGCAAUCAGGCACCUAGUAUCAUGCCCAUGUAAUUGCAAACAAGGAGGAAGCAGGACUCGAAUGCAGCAGUAAAGAUACUCAGGAUUACAGGAUCAAAUGAACAAAACAACUACAUAUGCGUAUCAAAUUACAGACAACUGAACCAACAGAAACACAGGGCUUAAAUUCACAGAUACUAAUCAAAGUAACGAGACAUCUGACAUGGGAACUGAUAAACAACAGGUGAUAGGAAUCAAACAAUCAGACAUACUGGGAAACUGGAUCAAAUUAAGAGGAACACAGGCAAACAUGAGCUGAAACUAAUAACAAGGCACAAACAAAACAAGAACACAAUGAAAAUUAGACUAGAAACACAAUGUUUGGUGUCUUUGCUGCUGUUAAAGGUUUCAAACUGAUUUCAGGCUUUCUAAACCAACAAGAGCAUUAAUCAGUGUAAAAUCUGUUUGUUCUCCAGGUGUGUUUGGUGACUCAGUGUCAGUGAUAAUAACAUAAUAACAAUCCCAUCAGCAACCAGACUCAACAACUGGACAUCACUCAACUCUGUUACACAUGUCCAGAUCAAGGCCUACCUUUAAUGUACAUAGUGCUGAUCUCUGCUGCUGCUGCUGCUGGAUCUCUGUUGAUUGAAUCUGCAGGAAAUGUAGAAAAACAGUUGAAACCCAGGAGGAAGACAGAACUGAUUCAGCAUUGUUUCAACAAGCAAGUUGUAAGAAGUUGUUGCAGUCAGUUAGCGUGAUUGAAGAUUACAGCUACAGACGUGGGUUUAUCGACUCCAGCA